rnacentral:lncRNA from 1 species
GUGAGGAUCUGGGUUCUACCUAAAUCCCCUUGUGGCCUUAGUCCAAAGUGAUUAGCCCCAGGUCAAACAGAAAGCCUGUAGUGAAUCAAGCAAAUUAAAGCCAACCCUCUUGAGCUAUAGGAUAAUGUGCUAGUCCCAAGACCUCCCUUCAUGGUGCUGGAAGGGAGGAGGUUAUUAAAUAUAAACACAAAGUAACAUCCUGCUCUAUGGAAGCCCAAGACAUGGUGUUCUGGAGGAAAGACAGAAGAUUAUACAUGCCCCCCAGCUGGACCUGUUUCAAGGGAACCCACAGCAACUGCCUCUGCCAGCACCAGGAGAUGUUAACAUCCCUUACCAACAGACUACAACUUGGAAGGCCACUAAGGAGGUGUCCUGUUAGGACAAAGGACACUGACCAAAGGACAGCUGGCAGUAACUGCAGGUGAAGAGGCUGACAACAGGUAUCUUGAAGAGAAGAAUCAACUGUUCACCAAGCUCUCAAAUAACUUCUGACUCCUGUUAUAAACUUUGGAGUCCAGUCAACCCCUGAAGGAAAACAGCAGAGCUUCAGCAGAAAUUAAAUAGUUGAGGUGAAAUCUCAUGGCUUCUUGUUAUCCAAACACCACAGAGGCAGCAGGAGUUUCUGAGAACAAAAGUAAAGCAGGAAAUAGUGAAAAGGAGCAAUUCCUUCUGUGAAGGAAUUUGUAAAAGACAGGAUAAGACAAAAUCCAGGAUCUGUUGGGAAAGGAGAGAGCCUUCUGAUUGCAGUGUGGAUGUGGUAGUGGGUCAGGCAGCUUUAUGCUUGUGAAAUGGAAACAUUAAUUGGGUGCAGCUGAAGUAGAGACUGAGUAGAGAGAGUAUUUCUCAUCCAGGACCUCUUACCUGGGCCUACCUAUCAGAAGGGUAGGACUUAAUACCUGUUUCAUGACAAGCCUCUGUCCUAGACUGCAAGUGGAUUUGCUGUGGGAUAUCUCGAGAUACACAUGUGUUCUCGAGGUAUCUUCAAUGCUUUGGCAGUUAGGAUCUACAUUACCUACACUUGCAGUAACUGUGUAACAGGUGUUUGAUGUGUUUCAGUAAUAGAAAGCUGAAGUCACGGCAAAGCUGUUACUGGUGCUUAGUAUUUG